rnacentral:misc_RNA from 1 species
GGACAAGUUCCAUUCAAACCACACCACUUUGGAAAUCUGCUCAUGGACCAGGUUUCAGCCUGGUUUCUUGAAUAGGCAGAUUAUUACGUUGCUUUCCGUUUUGAAAGUUCCAGAUGAAAUAUUUUGGAAAAUGCAGAUUGCUAUGGUCUCCAAACUAGAUCAGAUGCUCAUGGAUGCUGAUGUAGCAUUUGAUGUUAUCACUGCAUCAUGUGCUGAGCAAGGUAAUACUGCAGCAAUAAUGUUGAGUGCAGGUUUCAAGCCCCAGAAGGAACCUCACUUACGAGGCAUGCUAACUUGUAUAAGAGCUG